AAAAACGAAAACGUAGCACUUUAAAUUCUCUAUAAACCUUCCGAAGAAAGUUUUUGCGAAUUUACAGUCUUUCUAUCGGUUUCAGGGAUUUUCCUUUGAGAAAAAAAGAUUUUUCGACUUUGACCAAUUUUUUCCGCCAUUUUGGAAUCAAAUGUCAAAAAAUAAAUUGCACCAACGCAAUUUCACGAAUUAUUCAGACGUUUCUCUAUAUUUU